rnacentral:pre_miRNA from 1 species
CAUAUACUCCCUCCGUCCCAAAAUUCUUGUCUUAGAUUUGUCUAAAUACGGAUGUAUCAAGUCACAUUUUAGUAUUAGAUACAUCCGUAUCUAGACAAAUCUAAGACAAGAAUUUUGGGACAGAGGGAGUACAAA